rnacentral:rRNA from 1 species
AUUGAACGCUGGCGGCAUGCUUUACACAUGCAAGUCGAACGGUAACAGGUUAAGCUGACGAGUGGCGAACGGGUGAGUAAUGCAUCGGAACGUGCCCGGUCGUGGGGGAUAACGCAGCGAAAGUUGCGCUAAUACCGCAUACGAUCUGAGGAUGAAAGCGGGGGACCGUAAGGCCUCGCGCGAUCGGAGCGGCCGAUGUCAGAUUAGGUAGUUGGUGGGGUAAAGGCUCACCAAGCCAACGAUCUGUAGCUGGUCUGAGAGGACGACCAGCCACACUGGGACUGAGACACGGCCCAGACUCCGACGGGAGGCAGCAGUGGGGAAUCUUGGACAAUGGGCGAAAGCCUGAUCCAGCAAUGCCGCGUGCAGGAAGAAGGCCUUCGGGUUGUAAACUGCUUUUGUACGGAGCGAAAAGGUCUCCUCUAAUACAGGGGGCUCAUGACGGUACUGUAAGAAUAAGCACCGGCUAACUACGUGCCAGCCGCCGCGGUAA